GAAUACGUUGCUUGACAGAAUGUUGCCUUCCGUGCCAGAACUGCCACGCCUUAAUCUCGUCUUCUGGGCUCUUCUCUUCUCGGAACAUCAACAUUACCACGCUCUGCGCGACAAAACAUCAAGAAAACACCCAACGGAUUAAACAACUUUUUCGCCGCUACAUUUUGCUAACACCAGCCUGUUGCUUUAUUACAGCCAGUAAUUUCAUAUAGCAAACUCAGGUGGGCAAACGAGGCAAAACCACUGGUCUAUUUGCAACAAACACUUGAUAUUCAGAGAUCUAAAUAAGUGUGGAGCUGAUGGUAAUGAUGAUCAGGUGGACUUGUAUUGAGAUAGAAAGUGACAAUUAUAAACGAUCGGAGAAAUAAAUAUGUAGAAAACAUUCGAGCGAAAUUCUACGAUAAAGAUAUGUAUUUAUUCCAUUCUU